AAUAAAAAUGUGAUGUAUUUUAAAGUUAUAGAUCUCUUCGAGCUCUAUAUUUUUCAUUUAAAUAUUAUCUUCAUCUGAUUUCAUAUGUAAAAGUUAGGAUUUUAUAACUAUAUUAUGCUGAAAAGAAAAAACGGUACCCGAAUUCCGGAUACCGUAUCCGACCCGAAUUUAAAGUUGCACUAUCCGAGUAUUACCCGUAUCCGUCCGAAUAUAAAAAUAUUCGAAUACGUAUACGAAAAACCGGGUACUUACACUAUCCAUAUUUGAUACCCGAUGAGCCCGACCCGUUUUCACCACUGGUUCGUGUGUACACGACAUGUAUGGGCAAGCGCAUGUGCAUAACUUGUCCUGGAAGCAAAAGUCUUGACGGGACCAGAGGAGAUGAGGCAGCAGCCUCGCAGGAAGGAUGAGAACAAGAGCCCGUGACCCCGGAGCAUUGUUUUGCUCAAGAAGGAUGAGAUCAUGAGAACAAGAGAUGUGCCUAGCAGAGCAUUGUUUUGCAGCUGCCUUCUUUGACAAUUCCACUGUAUGAGUAGCCCAUUUUAUGUGCUCCUUGGGUCUUGUUGUCGACUGUUAUAUAGGAGUGCUCCUUUCUGGCUAUCUCUUGACUCUCCGUCAGCACUGCCAAUUAGAUCCUCUGCUGCAGCAAUAGCAUGCACGGCAAAUAAAAGCUUUCCAAUCUUGGCACCUGUACAAGGUCUUUUCUCCGUCCCAAAAAGAGUACACGCAUGGAUUAGCUCAGGGUGGAUGCACAAUGACACACCUCGCGUGCCUCCUUGAGAUCAACUUCACGAAAGCAAGUGCUGCAGAAGACUAUUCGAGCGCCUCCAAGCCGUAGUCUCCUGCAAAGGGGUUCUUCCGUUGCGGGGAGCAAGCGAGCGUCUAGCGGGACUCUCUCGGGGGUCUGCUUCCAUGCAAACGUGAAAAAAUUUCGCGUUUAGAUCGCCGACGACUUAAUUAUAUUUUUGGACCCUCCGUUCGACGAUACAGCCCGUGACGUCGCGUCUCGGCACAACAGACUGUGAGAUACCUUCUGCGCUGGCGAACGAGGGCCGACGUAGCGCCACAGAUCUUAGGGCCGAACUAGAAAGUCCUAUAAACCGACCAUUUUCUGGCCGAGAGCUAUGCCUAGCCAUUUGUCUCUCGUUUUUAUCUGCAUCCAUACCGCCGAGAGGUGCUCCAAUCUUCGUAUUCGAGUUGGAAAACUUUGAUUUGAUCCUUAAAGCUUGAAGACCAAGAUGGAAGACAUGUAUCGAGAGUCGUUGUGGCAAAAGAAAGGUCGUCCUCGGGAGUUAUAUCUGGAUGCAUCUAGUAAGGAUGCUCCUGUUCCUCCUAAUCUUUCUGUGUCUAAUUGUGACUGCUGCAGACCGGCUUGGGUAUGUCAAUCCAAACAUCUAGACACACUGCUUGCUGCUUCUACACUUGUGGUAGUUUUAACGAUCACUUGAGGUGUUUUUUUUCUAGUGGAUUGAUGGUCCUAAUAAGUUUGACCCUCGAUAUCUCCUUUUCGCUCAUUGGUUGUGUGGGAGGAAUACACAUGAGUGUUUUAAGCGUUGGGUGCCUCCGCCUCCGAACCCCCGCUAAUGACGGAUGAGAAGAACUUAGCCAUAGAAAGACGGUUGGAGUCUCCGCCUCGGUGCAAUUGUGGAGAUCAUGCUGUGAUAUAUGAGGACACUACGAUUGUGGAGAGCCUGCUUUACCAAGUGCCUUCUUUAGGCACUCGACAAAGCAUAUUUUUAUUUUUAUGUUAUUUUGCCAACCAAACUUUUUGUGUUAUGUUCCUACACUAUGUAGACCUACAUGUACCAUUUUGGGACAAUUAUAACAUUGUUUUCUAUAG